rnacentral:rRNA from 1 species
AUUGAACGCUGGCGGCAUGCUUUACACAUGCAAGUCGAACGGUAACAGGCCGCAAGGUGCUGACGAGUGGCGAACGGGUGAGUAAUGCAUCGGAACGUGCCCAGUCGUGGGGGAUAACGCAGCGAAAGCUGCGCUAAUACCGCAUACGAUCUCUGGAUGAAAGCGGGGGACCGAAAGGCCUCGCGCGAUUGGAGCGGCCGAUGUCAGAUUAGGUAGUUGGUGGGGUAAAGGCUCACCAAGACAACGAUCUGUAGCUGGUCUGAGAGGACGACCAGCCACACUGGGACUGAGACACGGCCCAGACUCCUACGGGAGGCAGCAGUGGGGAAUUUUGGACAAUGGGCGCAAGCCUGAUCCAGCAAUGCCGCGUGCGGGAAGAAGGCCUUCGGGUUGUAAACUGCUUUUGUACGGAACGAAACGGUCCUGGUUAAUACCUGGGGCUAAUGACGGUACCGUAAGAAUAAGCACCGGCUAACUACGUGCCAGCAGCCGCCGUAA